AUCAACGCUGGCGGCGUGCCCUCAGACAUGCAAGUCGAACGAUUAAAGCUCCUUCGGGGGAGGCAUAAAGUGGCGCACGGGUGAGUAACACGUAAGUAAUCUACCUCUGAGUGGGAAUAACGUCCGGAAACGGACGCUAAUACCGCAUAAUGCCAGCGGCACCGCCAAAGGUGACAGUUGUUAAAGAUUUAUCGCUUGGAGAGGAGCUUGCGGCAGAUUAGCUAGUUGGUAAGGUAAUGGCUUACCAAGGCAACGAUCUGUAGCCGGUCUAAGAGGACGGUCGGUCACACUGACACUGAAUAACGGGUCAGACUCCUACGGGAUGGCCAGCAAGUCGGGAAUUUUGGGCAAUGGGCGAAAGCCUAGCCCAGCAACGCCGCGUGAAGGAUGAAGUAUUUCGGUAUGUAACUUCGAAAGAAUAGGAAGAAUUAAUGACGGUGCUAUUUAUAAGGUCCGGCUAACUAUCGUGCCAGCAGCCGCGGGUAACUACAGCGUAGGUGACCAAGCGUUGUUCGGUACUUUACUGGGCGUAAAAGGGCGCGUAGGGCGGCAUGACAAAGUCACUUGUGAAAUCUUCGGGCUUAACCCGGAACGGCCAAGUGAUACUGUCGCGCUAGAGUGCGGAAGGGCAAUCGGAAAUUCUCGGUGUAGCGGGCUGAAAUGCGUAGAUAUCGAGAGGAACACCUGAGGUGAAGACGGGGUGCUAGGGGCCGACACUGACGCUGAGUGGCGCGAAAGCCAGGGGAGCAAAGGGAUUUAGAUACUCGCCGGUAGUCCUGGCCCCUAACGAUGAAUACUUGGUUGUCUGGAGUAAUUUGUGCUCCGGGUGCCGUCGCUAACGUUUUAGUAUUCCGCCUGGGGAGUACGCUCGCAAGAGUGAAACUCAAAGGAAUUGACGGGGACCCGCACAAGCGGUGGAGCAUGUGGUUUAAUUCGACGCCAACGCGAAGAACCUUACCUAGGCUAGAAUGGAGGGAAGAAAGGGUAAUAACCGAUCGUCUGGGAAACCAGACCCAAAACAAGGUGCUGCAUGGCUGUCGUCAGCUCGUGUCGGUGAGAUGUUGGGGUUAGUCCCGCAACGAGCGCAACCCUAUCGAUAGUUGCCAUCAGUCUAAGUGCGGAACUCUAUCGAACUCCGCCUCGGAAUAACGGGGAGGAAGGCUGGGGAUGACUGUCAAGUCCUCAUGGCCUUUAUGCUCUCAGGGCUAUCACCAGUGCUACAAUGGUCCGGUACAAACCGUCGCGAACCCGCGAGGGGGAAGCUAAUCGGAAAAAAGCCGGCCGCCUCAGUUCGGAUUGGAGUCUGCAACCCGACUCCAUGAAGCUGGAAUCGCCUAGUAAUACGCCAGAUCAGAACGCUGCGGUGAAUACGUUCCCGGCGCUUGUACACACCGCCCGUCACAUCACGAAAGUGGCUUGAUACUAGAAGUCCGGUUCGUGCAACCGCAAGGGGACUGGAGCGCCCAAGGUAUGAGCUCAUGAUUGGGGUG
rnacentral:rRNA from 1 species